AAACUGGUUCAUUAGCAGACGGCAAAAAAUGAUUGCAGAAUUAGGCAAAAAGUUUAAAUGCAAUUGAAGUCGGUAGAGAUGGCGUUGUCCCACGCGGUCGAAACAAAAAUUUGGAUUCGAAUUGGAUUUUGACAAGAGCUACCUAACAGAAUGUACCAUACGUUAGAACCUGAGACGUUUUUGAAAGCAUUGUGCCCAUUACGUACGAACGGUGUAAUGAGACGACAUAGUCCAGCUGGGAAAAGUAAAGCUUCUUCUAACUUAGAAAGGCAAAGAUAAGAACAGAUUGUACCUAGUCGGAGUAUUUACUUGAGCACUUGCACAUUAUCAGCGCCAACAAAUUGCAUGUUUUACGAUAGUGAAAUUUGUGUGCUUUUCCGCAUUAAAAAAUACUCGCAGCGAUUCAGCUAUUCCUUCAGCAUGGCGGGUCCUUUGAAUUUCUUCGCCACUUUCUUGGCUGUCUGGCUGGCGCAAGUGGGUCAAGCGCUGCAUAAAUGAGUAGACACACACGUACACACUCGCAUGCAUACAUCGGACGAGCGAAAAUAAAAGUCAAACGGCAAGAAAGCACUUGAAGCCGGCGGUGUUACACACAUAAAACUACUGCCACAUCGUUUACUAUCGUGUUUGCGGCACACAAAGGCAAGUCAUGCAUUAAUAUAACAGCGGUGAGGGUGUGGUAGUAACAACGCGGA